CUUUUCCUGUGUGUCCUUUUCAGAAUCAGGGAGGGAGGAGGGGAUGUUCCCUCCACAGUUCUCAACAGCCCUUGGCCUCAAGGGACCGUGGAGAAAUCAUGCCGGGGCUGGACCCGGGGAGGGACCACCAGGCUUCUCCAAGGUUGGGGCCAGACUGGGGCCAGACAGUCUGGGGGCUGUUGGUGCCCAUGAGACGUUGGUGCCCAGAGUUCGGUUUUCUCUCCCAGGUUUUAUUCUUCCCCAGCACCAGAAUUCCUGCAACCCCAACAAGCAAACGGGGCCCACUCACCUUAGGAGACAAUGUCUGGACGUCUUUCCCUGUUCAUAUAUGCGAUCCAGAAAGUCAUUUGUGAAUUAAAGGGAAUGGAACAUUAAGAGGGAAGAAGUAGGCCUGAAGAUUUUCCAUAAGCCUGCCAGUGUGCCACGUACAACGUGCCAGGGUGCCACGUACAAAUGUGCCAGGGUGUCACAACCUGCCAGCGUCCCACACACAACCUGCCGCUGUGCCACGUUCUGUAAUGCCAUACACUCUCUCUGGUGCUGUUCUGUUUCACCUUUCAGAGGGAAGCUCCUGUCUUUAUUCUGUCAUAACCUACCUUCGAGGAGGUAUUUUCUUUACUUUCCUUCUACGUUACGAACUAUUUUGCAGUUUUAACUAGGUAAAAUAAUUUUACCAAUUUACUGUGAGUAAAUUGGUAAAAACUAAAAAAAUAUGUAGAAUUUAAUACAAAUGCAAGGUUCCCAUUUGCACCCUCUGGGGCAGCUGUAAUAGAAAAGGUAAAGUGUUGAGGAUGUGGGGAGAUCGAAGCCCUCUUGCGCUGCUGAUGGAAAAGUCAGAUGGUGUGGCUGCUGAGAGACGCAGUCCGGCGGUUCCUCUAAAGGGUCAGCAAAGUUCCUUCUGACUCAGCAGCUCCCCGCUCUGGGGCUGGAGACAUGUCCACACAAAAAGGUGAACACGAGUGUUCGUAGCAGUUUGUAUCGCAGUGUCUGUCACAGCAUUGUGACAGCCCCCACCCAAAUAUGCAUCCAGGGAUGGAUGGAUAAAUAAAAUGAGAUUUUGCCAUAAAAUGGAAUGUCAUUCAGGCACAGAAAGGAACAAAGUGCAUUCAUGCUACCACAUGGAUGAGCCUUAAAAACAUGCUAAAUGAAAGAAC
rnacentral:lncRNA from 1 species